rnacentral:rRNA from 1 species
UCGGGAAUUUUGGGCAAUGGGCGAAAGCCUGACCCAGCAACGCCGCGUGAAGGAUGAAGUAUUUCGGUAUGUAAACUUCGAAAGAAUGGGAAGAAUAAAUGACGGUACCAUUUAUAAGCUCCGGCUAACUACGUGCCAGCAGCCGCGGUAAUACGUAGGGAGCAAGCGUUGUUCGGAUUUACUGGGCGUAAAGGGCGCGUAGGCGGCGCGGUAAGUCACUUGUGAAAUCUCUGAGCUUAACUCAGAACGGCCAAGUGAUACUGCAGUGCUAGAGUGCAGAAGGGGCAAUCGGAAUUCUUGGUGUAGCGGUGAAAUGCGUAGAUAUCAAGAGGAACACCUGAGGUGAAGACGGGUUGCUGGGCUGACACUGACGCUGAGGCGCGAAAGCCAGGGGAGCAAACGGGAUUAGAUACCCACGUAGUCCCUGAGCGGGCUGGCAAGGCGCAU